AUUGAACGCUGGCGGCAUGCCUUACACAUGCAAGUCGAACGGCAGCGCGGGGGCAACCUGGCGGCGAGUGGCGAACGGGUGAGUAAUAUAUCGGAACGUACCCUGGAGUGGGGGAGUAACGUAGCGAAGUUACGCUAAUACCGCAUACGAUCUAAGGAUGAAAGUAGGGGGAGUUCGCAAGAAACCUCAUGCUCCUGGAGCGGCCGAUAUCUGAUUAGCUAGUUGGUAGGGAAAAGGACCUACCAAGGCAUCGAUCAGUAGCUGGUCUGAGAGGACGACCAGCCACACUGGAACUGAGACACGGUCCAGACUCCUACGGGAGGCAGCAGUGGGGAAUUUUGGACAAUGGGCGCAAGCCUGAUCCAGCAAUGCCGCGUGAGUGAAGAAGGCCUUCGG
rnacentral:rRNA from 1 species